rnacentral:misc_RNA from 1 species
GAUGAAGAACGUAGCGAAAUGCGAUAAGUAGUGUGAAUUGCAGAAUUCAGUGAAUCAUCGAAUCUUUGAACGCACAUUGCGCCCCUUGGUACUCCAUGGGGCAUGCCUGUUCGAGCGUCAUUUGUACCUUCAAGCUCUGCUUGGUGUUGGGUGUUUGUCUCGCCUCUGCGUGUAGACUCGCCUUAAAACAAUUGGCAGCCGGCGUAUUGAUUUCGGAGCGCAGUACAUCUCGCGCUUUGCACUCAUAACGACGACGUCCAAAAGUACAUUUUUACACUCUUGACCUCGGAUCAGGUAGGGAUACCCGCUGAACUUAAGCAUAUCAAUAAGCGGAGGA